CGUCGCUUUCGACUAGGACCGCUGUCUGCCGCACGCGCGGAUCCGUGUCCGCGUCGUCGCUCUCCUCGCUGGGCCCGCCUAGGCGUUGCUGUUUGUGCUUACGCCAGGCGUUCUGUAUCAGGCGCGCGCAAUACUCCUCCCUUUGACGCCAGAGGGUCGAGGAGACUGGCUCGUAACCGGCCUCACCCGGACGCGUCUGCACCUCUAGCUCCGACGUCUCCUCUAUCGGGUUACCUUUACGCGCGAAGAAGUCCUUGGUCAAGGCGUCGAGGAUAUCCACGCAGAACAUCAGGUCACCUUUACAGAUCGGUAUAUCCAUCGACACGAUCUUGUACUUGUUCGGCUUGUGUAUUUGCAAUGGCGGCUCUAACACGUCGAGGAACUCGGACAACUGGUCGUAUCUGAUGUACUGUGUACCGUCCGGGUCGAACUGCUGCCAGAUCUCGUAGUACAUGUCGUAGUCGUCGUCCGUCAGCCCCUCUUGCACGUCCUCGGUCGCUUGAGAGUAGUUCUCGAGGAUCACGGCGAUGUACAUGUUUAUCACGAUCAAGAAGCUGAUCACCAGGUACGAGAGAAGAUAGGCGAUCCCGAUCGUUGACGAACCGCAGUUACCCGGAUAUCCUAUCUCGUUGUUCGGCUCCUGGCAGUCUUCCUCGUUUAUUAUGCCGUCGAGCACGCCGUCCCAACCGGCGGAUGUGGACAUCUUUGGGGAAUCGGAAGUUUCAACGUUAUUACUAGUUUCAAGCUGGUUAUUCAGCAAUAUCAUCGACUGUCCAAACGUUUUGAAAUUGUACACAUCGUCCAGUCCACUUUUAUCCUUGACGUGCAUGAAGAAAGACAUUCCGAAGAUCGCGAAGAUAAACAUCACCAAAAAGAGUAACAGGCAAAUAUUGAAGAGGGCUGGCAACGACAUCGCUAAGGCGAAGAGAAGCGUUCGAAUACCCUUGGCACCUUUCACGAGUCGAAGCACACGACCGACUUUUGCCACCCUCACUACACGAAGCAACGUUGGCGACACGAAGUAUUUCUCGAUAAUGUCGCUGAGUACCAGACCUGAAGAGGACAAUUGUUAAUUAAUACCACUGUUCCGGUGAUGUCUGUCGAUGUUCUGGCUAAUUCUACGAUGGAAUUGAGAGAGGAGCUCUUUGGAAAGAGGAUAAUUCUUGCAAGAGUGAAGGAUGUCUAUAUCUAAGAGUCUAAUUCAUUCACCGAGUGUAAAAUAUAUGUAUAUAUAUAUAUAUAUAUAUAUACAUAAACAAAAAUAAUCUAGUCGUUGCAUUCUCUAUUCCUUUAAUCCGUAAGCAAAAUUGCAGAGAUGUUUCCUCCAGUCUGAUCCGUUUUGUCCAAGAAAUUUGAAAAUUCUGAUGCAUGACUACACGUGUCUCUCGUUUGUAGAAAAAUAAAAAUAAAUGUGUGAACAUGCAUCGCUGCUCUAAAUACCUAUCUUCGAGCUCUAUUCUAUAUUCCCGAGGAUUCGGUGUUACCUCGACAUGCAUCGCAGUUUGACUUAAAAGCUCGAUCACUUGUUAAAUGAUUCGCGGUGCUGUAUAAGAGAAACAUAUUGAAUUUUCGUGUCAGGCAUUCCAGUGUUUCAGAGUUGUUAUACUAGCAGCCGAUCGCUCCUCUCUAAUAAGAUGCUAAUUCUGAAUUAGAAAUAGUAGUGGUAAACCUUUGUAAUACAGACCCGCUCUUACCCGAUGUUUCGACUAAUGAUCGUCUUUACAUCAAUUAACAUAUGCGAAAUAAGUCGGAUACGAUAUUACAUUGCCAAACAGUUAAACGGAAUCGGAUCCGAUAACAAAAUUCUAAUCUACCAUUUGAAAUAUCAAAGUCAAAGCAAAGAAUAGCCAAUGGACCAAACAAGAAUCUAACGUUUUCUUAAUUAAACAUUUCAACAAUAUCGAUUUCAUUUGUUAGUAACGCUAGGAUAUGCUUAAGGAAUAAUGUGAAAUUUUGAAUUUAAAUAAACAAGUGGCCAUCGUAAUAUUGUAUCGAACCUUUCAGCAACAAGUUCCUAUACACAUUGUACUGGAUAGAGGAGUGUGGAGGGUCACAGGGCGGCAAAAGGGGGGUUCAAUACAACAUCAAUGUAAGGCUACGUAACGUAAUGACGCUGAUCAGUCGUUUCGGCACACGUGAAAUAUCGACCCUGUCCGCUUUUAAGUUUCUUGAGUAAAAUUGUUCAAUCGUCCCUGCGUGCAUGAUGAAAGAGAGAAAGACAGAAAGUGUGUGAAAGAUCGUAAUGCAAACGACAUGCUCAUUAAUCUGAUCAAGCCUCUAAUCGUAGCGAUGGGUGAUUGAUAAGUAGAAAUAGUGAACUGUGUAAUUGGAAAAAGCUAACAGGAUUCUUUUCUGAUCAACGUUAGUCAAUUUCACUUGGGCCAUACGACUGAACUAGUCAUUACAUUACAUUACCUAAUAUUGACAAUAUAACAACAACAAAAUCAAAGAGGUUCCACGGCUCCUUGAAAUAGUGGUAACGCAGCGCGAAGAUCUUCAUGAGACACUCGCUGGUGAAUAUCACAAUGAAUAUCAUGUUCAGAUAGUCUAGAACAUCGCUGAAAGUCUGGGUCUGUUGAUAAUGGUCCAACGUCAUCGUUAACAUGUUCAGUCCGAUAAACAACAUGAUUAUCAUAUCGAACUUUUUGUCCGUCACUAUUUCAAACACUAUCGCCUGCGGUCUCCACUGAAACAAAUCGAAAACACAUCGAUUAGUUGAACAAUCGGUUCAUCUAUAUUAACAAAUGUCUAUA